rnacentral:misc_RNA from 1 species
AAGUCGUAACAAGGUUUCCGUAGGUGAACCUGCGGAAGGAUCAUUAUUGAAUAUUCUUGAUGGGUUGUAGCUGGCUCUUCGGGGCAUGUGCACGCCUGCCUUGACUUUAUUCAUCCACCUGUGCACCUUUUGUAGUCUUGGGGGUUGAGAGCAGUCAAUAAUCGGAUGACCAUUUGGUCACUCCGGGUGUGAGGAAUGCUGAGUGCGAAAGCAUACAGCUCUUCUCAAAGUGACUUGUAAUCCUCUCCUUCAAGUACUAUGUAUUCAUAUACCCAUAGUAUGUUGUAGAAUGUGAUCAAUGGGCCUAAGUGCCUAUAACAAUCAUAUACAACUUUCAGCAACGGAUCUCUUGGCUCUC